UACGGAGGGGGCUAGCGUUGUUCGGAAUCACUGGGCGUAAAGGGAGCGUAGGCGGGCUCUUAAGUUAGGUGUUUAAUCCCGGGGCCCAACCCCGGACAGGCACCUAAAACUGGGAGUCUUGAAUAGUGGAGAGGACGGCGGAAUUGGGGGUGUAGCGGUGAAAUGCGUAGAUAUCUGGAGGAACACCGGUGGCGAAGGCGGCAUCCUGGACCGGUAUUGACGCUGAGGCGCGAAAGCCAGGGGAGCAAACGGG
rnacentral:rRNA from 1 species